GAGCCCUCUACAGAGACGUAAUGCAGGAGAACUAUGAGACGGUGAUCUUUCUGGGGUUUCUAGUUUCCAAACCUGAUGUGAUCUCACAGCUGGAACGAGGGGAAGAGCUGUGGGUCCCAGAUCUCCAGGGCUCUGAGAAAGAAGUGCUCCCAAGAGCUGCCUGCACAGGAAGUGACCUAUGUCUGGAUCCUCUCUCUCUCCCAUCGGGUGAUGGGAAGGUGAGUGAGAACGAGGAGAAACCCUGGCAGGAAGAUGCUGAGCAAAGAGAAGCACAUGGGAUGUUAUCAGGAAAAUCCAAAGGGAAUGUUUCUGGAAGUUGUGCACUCCCAGAAAAAGCAAAAGCCUGUGAGAGUCAGCACAGGCCAGAGGAAAACUUCAGUAGCCACUCAGACCUUAUUAAAUGUGAGAGAAUUAACUUGGAAGAGACAUGCUACACAUGCCAUGUGUGUGGGAAAAGCUUCAAUGGGAGCUCUGACCUUCUCACACAUCAGAGAAUCCACAGAGGAGAGAAACCCUACACGUGCUCUGAGUGUGGGAAAAGCUUCAGUUAUAACUCACACCUUAUUAUACAUCAGAGAAUCCACACCGGAGAGACACCCUACACAUGCUCUGAGUGUGGGAAAAGCUUCAGUCAGAGCUCAAACCUUAUCACGCAUUACAGAAUCCACACUGGCAUGUCACCCUACAGAUGUUCUGAGUGUGGGAAAAGCUUCAGUCAUAGCUCAGCCCUUAUUAGACACCAGGGAAUCCACACUGCAGGGAGACCCUACACAUGCUCUGAGUGUGGGAAAACCUUCAGGCUUAGCUCAGCCCUUACCAUACAUUGGAAAAUCCACAGUGGAGAGACACCCUACACAUGCAAUAACUGCGGGAAAAGCUUCAGCCAUAGCUCAGCCCUUAUUAGACACCGGAGAAUCCACACGGGUGAGAUGCCCUACACGUGCUCUGAGUGUAGGAAACCUUUCAGGCACAGCUCAGCCCUUACCAUACAUUGGAGAAUCCACAGUGGAGAGAGACCCUACACAUGCAAUAACUGUGGGAAAAGCUUCAGGCAUAGCUCAGCCCUUAUUAGACAUCAGAAAAUCCACAUGGGCGAGAACUGUAACAAAUGCCUUGACUAGGGCUGGCCAAAGUGUUGUUUUUUGUUUUUAAAUCGCAUUUGCUAAUUCCCACAUAGCGAUCUUUGCACCGUCUUCACCGUGGUCUGUCAGCUCCCCCAGAUGAGUUGCCUGCUUCUGCCUUUUGCAGCUCACCCUUCUUUGGGGUCAAUGUUGUGCUGGAGAGCAGAUAUUUUUACCACCAUUUUCCUCACUUAAAAUAUAUUGAACUAUAACAAAGAGUAGGAACAGGGCAGGGAUAGGGAAAAAUGUAAUUUACCCUCUGUAACAACAGAAGAAGAUAGGGUAAGUCAGAGGGAUUCCCUUAUUCACCAUACCAAUCCCCAUGUUGUUCAAUUGGUUAGGCCAAUAUUUUUUCUAAAGGGCUGGGAGGAGGAUUCCCUAGUAAAUGACUUGGGACUAAGCAAAAUACCCAUGCAUUUGACUCCCAAAGCAGUUGUGGCCCAGGGCCUGCAGGAGAUGGCUCCUGAAGAUAUCUCCUUCCUAAUCAGGUGCAUGUUGCCUAUUAUUUGGGAAAUGCAAUCCCUAGCUAGGUAGAGAUGGGCGAAAAAUGGAAGUGAUGUUUCUGUUCAGCUCACCCCUGGGAGAUGCUGCAAAUGUAUAGAAAAUGAAAUCCUUGUUGAAUGUGAUAGAGCUGCAGAAAGAUACCUAUUUUUAAUAGAUUCCUGACUUUUGGUGUCUUACAGGGAUUCUAAGCCGCACCUGAAUUUAGUCCCUAAUUUAAAUCUGUGCCACCAGAUUAAAGAAAUAAAAGGGCAUAUGUGGGGGAGUUAUACCUCACUACUACAACUGGUAUGUUGUGUGGUUGGUGAAGAAUUCUACGCCAGAGAAGUGUAAAAUUACUCCAAGUAAUGUCAAAGAUUUGACAAGAACUCAGGUAGAAAUGGCAGGUACGCGUGGUUGAUUUUCACCGCAGAGAUGGAAGCUAUGAUGACCUUUGGCCCAGGUAAAGUAUUUUUGGAAGGCUGCUCCCUAGUUAAGUGGCAUUGAUCACACUCCUAAAGGAUGCCAUGAUUAAAUUGGGAACAGCUGUCUUUUACCAUUUGGAUCCAAAGGUUUGCGAAGCACAGAGAGAAACAGCUGAUUCCUUCAGAGCCAUUCCAUGCCUGUGGGUCCCAAUCUGGCUGCCUUGUUGGACAAGAAGCAUUUCCAUGCUGGGCAAAUGAUGGUAGCCAAUGGGGGAGUGCGUCAGAUUCCAAGUUCAGACUGCAGGAUACAUGAAUGCUGAGUCCUGACUCUGGGGUUUGGUCUCUUAGUUUUGCUCUUAAUCUAGUGCAUUUGUAUCACUUCACGUUCUGCUACUGUGAAAGAUUAGAAAGUGUGAAAAUAGAGCACAGAUGGUUUUUCUCAUGAUGCAACCUUCCCACAUAGUGUGAGACCCGGGGAGACAUGAACUCACAGAAAUGGAAGCCUCCUAGGUUAUUGUAGAAUGUGAGUUCACACAAAGCUCACUGGGUGGAAAUGGGAAUUAAGAGAAGACUUCCCUAUAGGUUUAUAUUUUGUAAUCUUUGAAUAAGUUGUUACCAGCGACAAAUUAAACAUGAAGUUAAUUAGUGUAAUGUAAGAGGCUGAUUAUGUGAUAACUUUGUGUUACAAUAUAAUUCAGCUUUUCUUCUAGCUCUCUCCCUGCCCCCUCCUACUAUAUAGGAAAUGGUAGCUGGAAUUAAAGCCUCACUCCAAAGGAAUUAGAGUGGGGGAAUAUGUGAGUGAAAUAGUAUUUACGAGAAUAGAGACCCAGGAUAGACUAAUUAAUUCUAUUUAAAAUGGAAUUUAUUUCAAUAAAUUUUAAAAUAAAUCUUCCGUUAAAAGAGGAAAAUUACUUGAGACAAGAUGUGAACCUUUUAUCCAGUGAGAGGGUAACAGCCACAGAUUUCCCCAGGUCUCUUGUUUGCAAAGCAAAGAUGUCACAUCAGGCAGGAGAUGUCAAAAUCUAAAAUGGUGAUGGUAGCUUUCCUGGUUUUUUGUUUUUGUUUGGUUUUUAAUUUAAUUUGUUUUAGCAACCAGGCCCCUUUUCCUUUGGAGCACAACGCUUUAACUCUCAGGCCUGGCUCUGGAAACCUCCUCAGAACUGGCCUUGUGUUUCUUUCAUGUUUAAUAUCUUUGGGGUUCACACACCCACACUACAUGCGGUUCACAGCAACAGAUACUUUCAGAAACCUACUGCGUUAAGCGGACCUUUUCCAAACUGACAUUAGCCCAAAGUCUGCCUUAAUUCAGCUGGAUUGGGACACAUCUGUAUCAAAGGAAUGGUUCACAUCUGAUUUGCCCAGGGACCUCGGGGGAGGUGUGGUAAAAUACGAUAAGUAGGAGUCAACAACAAUAAAGGUAAGGAUGAAAGACCCUCACCUUGCAGGUCAACAAACCUGUUCUGUUCAUUCCCUCUGAUGCAUCUGGCACUGGUCACUCUCCAGCAGCACACUGGGCUCCAUGGACCAUUGGUCUGACCCAAUGACCAGUCUUGCGUUCUUAUGUUAAGUAAGUCCUCUACGGCCUUGUCUACGCUGGCAAGUUUCUGCACAGGAAAGGAGCUUUCUGCAGUGUAACUUCGGAGUUCUACAAACUGCCAAGCCAUUUAGUGCUCAGAAAGUGCGCAGUUGCAGCACUGUAAAAAAAAGCCACCCUGACGAGCAGCGUAGAGCUGUCUGCGCCAGGGCUACAGCGCCGCGGUGCCAGUGUAGACACCCUGAUCGAUGACAGCACUGUGACUGGCCUCCGGGAGGUGUCCCACAAUCCCUGUUCUCGCCUCUCUGGUCAUUUGUUUGAUCUCUACUGCCCUGCCCUCAAUGACCAACCGUGAACCUCCCCCCCCUUAAAUUCCUUGGGAAUUUUGAAAGUCCCCUUCCUGUUUGCUCAGUGACUCAUGCAAUGGUGUCAGCGCAUCUUUCCAGGUGACCAUGCCUGCUCUGCACACCAGGCGAUCCUCCGCUUGGAGCAAUGCCGAGCUGUUGAAUCUCAUCACCAUUUGGGGAGUGGAGGCUGUCCAGUCCCAGCUGUGCUCCAGCCGUAGGAAUUAUGACAACAGACAGAUUUCAUGAUGCACGAGAGAAAGGGGCCGUGACUGGGACACACUGCAUUGCAGGGUCAAAGUGAAGGAGCUGUGGAACGCCUACCACAAAGCACAGGAGACAACCCCCUCCCCCGGUGCUGUGCCCAAAAGCUCCCAGUUCUACAAAGAGCUGGAUGCGAUACGCGGUGGUGACCCCACCUCCACUGCAAAGCCCACUGUGGAUACUUCGGUGGCUCACAUGCCAAUCGAGAGUGGACCGAGCCAGGAGGAGGAAAUCUUGGACGAGGAUGUGGAGGUGGAGGAGGACCCAGAGGCAGAGGACAACUCGGAGGUCAGAGAUGCAUGGAGCCCGGAGUUCUUCUCUACCCCAGAGGAGGCUAGCCAGUCACAGCAGUCGGAGUUGGCGAAGCACAAACAGGAGAGGAGGCCUUUGAUAUGACCUUAGGAGCCCAGCCUCCCUCUUUGUUAUCGGCAGCUGAACGGCUGUGCAAAAUUAGAAAGCGGCCAUGAAGAACUUAAGAGAGCUUUCUAUGUGAUGUCACGAUGCACUCCACGGCCAAAAAACCAGAAUUGAAGGAGUGGCAGAACAGCGAGAAGGGGGACUGAAAGGAGAACGCGGUGCACCAGAUCGAAGCCAUAGGGUGGUUCUUAAACGUUAUGGAGUGCUAAUUGGACAUGCUCCAGGCGCUACUUGCACUGCAAACCAAGUAGCUGUGUGCCCGACCUCCCCUGCAGCCACUGUCGCAAAACUCUUUUCCAUGCACCCCCUGACACUGUCAACACACUCUUAUCAACCACCUGGCUCCAGUCUGUACCUGCUGCAUUCCACUCCUGCCCCAUCACAGUCCAGCCCUGCAGACUCCCAGUACCCACUACACUCAACACCUGUCUCUCGGCAGUUUAUUAUUGCUGAAGUACAGUACCCACUGCAAUGUACUCCAAUGAGUAAGAUUGCAUGUGAUACCUGGACAUACACAAAUCUUUAACUGUCCUAGGACCUCACCUCCUCAUGGGACCCUCCCUUCCCCCAUCCCCCACAGUGUUGAUGUGGUUUUUGUUUGUUUGUCUCUCUCCUCCAGUGGUUGCUUUUUAAUAAAAGAAUAGUUUUGGUUUGAAA